UACGAAGGGUGCAAGCGUUACUCGGAAUUACUGGGCGUAAAGCGUGCGUAGGGGGUUCGUUAAGUCUGAUGUAAAAGCCCUGGGCUCAACCUGGGAAUGGCAUUGGAUACUGGCGACCUAGAGUGCGGUAGAGGGGUGUGGAAUUCCCGGUGUAGCAGUGAAAUGCGUAGAUAUCGGGAGGAACAUCUGUGGCGAAGGCGACACCCUGGACCAGCACUGACACUGAGGCACGAAAGCGUGGGGAGCAAACAGG
rnacentral:rRNA from 1 species